rnacentral:rRNA from 1 species
CCGCAAGGAAGGCGAUGGCGGCAUAAGUUAUGUUGAAGCCAACGCUUGAAGAUGAGCGGUGAGGAGGAGCAGGAUGAGCCCGCGUGUGAUAAGCGAGUUGGAAAGGUAAAGGCUAAGCAAGGCGACGAAAAGUAGCAGAACUGAGUGGGUGAUCGGCAACAUUGGAACUGAGACACGGUCCAAACUCCUACGGGAGGCAGCAGUGGGGAAUAUUGCACAAUGGGAGAAAGCCUGAUGCAGCAACGCAGCGUGAGUGAUGAAGGCCUUCGGGUCGUAAAACUCUGUCCCCAAGGAAGAUAAUGACGGCUCUUGAGGAAGGAGCCCCGGCUAACUACGUGCCCGCAGCCGCGGUUAUCCGUAGGGAGCUAGCGUUAUCCAGAUUUACUGGGCGUAAAGGGUGCGAAGGCGAGCUUUCCAGCCAGGAGUGAAAGGCUACGGCUCAACCGUAGUAUGUAUGUGCACCUGGGA